rnacentral:rRNA from 1 species
CCUACGGGAGGCGGCAGUGAGGAAUAUUGGUCAAUGGACGAGAGUCUGAACCAGCCAAGUAGCGUAAAGGAUGACUGCCCUAUGGGUUGUAAACUUCUUUUAUAUGGGAAUAAAAUGUUCCACGUGUGGGAUUUUGUAUGUACCAUAUGAAUAAGGAUCGGCUAACUCCGUGCCAGCAGCCGCGGUAAUACGGAGGAUCCGAGCGUUAUCCGGAUUUAUUGGGUUUAAAGGGAGCGUAGGUGGAUUGUUAAGUCAGUUGUGAAAGUUUGCGGCUCAACCGUAAAAUUGCAGUUGAAACUGGCAGUCUUGAGUACAGUAGAGGUGGGCGGAAUUCGUGGUGUAGCGGUGAAAUGCUUAGAUAUCACGAAGAACUCCGAUUGCGAAGGCAGUUCACUGGACUGCAACUGACACUGAGGCUCGAAAGUGUGGGUAUCAAACAGGAUUAGAUACCCCAGUAGUC